rnacentral:rRNA from 1 species
UACGGGGGGGGCAAGCGUUGUUCGGAAUUACUGGGCGUAAAGGGCGCGUAGGCGGUUGGAUAAGUCAGCUGUGAAAACCACGGGCUUAACUCGUGGCCUGCAGUUGAGACUGUCUGGCUUGAGUGUGGGAGAGGAGAGUGGAAUUCCAGGUGUAGCGGUGAAAUGCGUAGAUAUCUGGAGGAAUACCGGUGGCGAAGGCGGCAUCCUGGACCGACAUUGACGCUGAGGAGCGAAAGCUAGGGGAGCAAACGGG